rnacentral:lncRNA from 1 species
GUAGAAAUUAUCCCUUUGAAAUAUUCCUGGACACCAUCACGAGUAGAGUGUGACCUACAAAUAACCGAGUUUGCACUUACACAAGCAACAGAAUGGAUGCCAAAAUUUUUGGAGGAUUCACUUAAACCAUUAUGUAGCCCAUGGAAUGACUCCCGAUUGGUGGGGUUCGUGUUGCUUAGUGUUUAGUUUUCUAUUUUGCGAUUUGUGUACUG